rnacentral:rRNA from 1 species
GGAGGGGUGCAAGCGUUGUUCGGAAUCACUGGGCGUAAAGCGCGUGCAGGCGGCUGGUUAAGUCUGGGUGUGAAAGCCCGGGGCUCACCCCCGGAAGUGCGCUGGAAACUGGCCAGCUAGAGUAUGGGAGAGGGAAGUGGAAUUCCUGGUGUAGCGGUGAAAUGCGUAGAUAUCAGGAGGAACACCGGCGGCGAAGGCGGCUUCCUGGACCAAUACUGACGCUGAGACGCGAAAGCGUGGGGAGCAAACAGGAUUAGAUACCCUGGUAGUCCACGCUGUAAACGAUGGGUACUAGGUGGCGCGGGUGUUGACCCCUGCGCUGCCGUAGCUAACGCAUUAAGUACCCCGCCUGGGGACUACGGUCGCAAGAUUA